UACAGAGGGUGCAAGCGUUGUUCGGAAUUACUGGGCGUAAAGCGCGUGUAGGCGGCGGCGUAGUCGGAUGUGAAAUCCCUCAGCUCAACUGAGGAAGUGCAUUCGAUACUGCGUCGCUUGAAUGUCGGAGGGGAUGGCGGAAUUCCCGGUGUAGAGGUGAAAUUCGUAGAUAUCAGGAGGAACACCGGUGGCGAAGGCGGGUCUCUGGGCAGUAACUGACGCUGAGGAGCGAAAAGCGUGGGGGAGCGAACAGG
rnacentral:rRNA from 1 species